CAAAAAUUGCAAAAGUUUGAGAGAUUUAAAAAAAAAAUGCCCUUCAGUCAGUUAUUAGAGGUUGCUUAAAAGAGAUUUGACAACCUAGAGGACCCUAAAGACCAGGCUUAAGUGGUUUCUGCUGGACAGAAAGACUACAUUGGUUGUUGGACUCUCCAUUUAAAAAAAAAAAAAAAGACUCUUUCCUCCCAGCAAAUGCAAGCCAUCCAACAGAUUCCAGUCCCUGUGACUAAAAGGCAAGUGCAAAAAUUUCUAGGAGCCACAGGACUGAUCCAGAGUUUGGGACCAUGGCAAAAGCCUGUUGCCUAUCUUUCCAAGAGACUUGAUAAUGUGGCAGCUGGAUGGCCACCUUGCCUACGAGUAAUUGCCUCAGUGGCUCUCCUUUUAAAGGAAGCCCAAAAGUUGGUUUUUGGACAAAAGCUCUUAAUUGUCUCCUCCCAUUCACUGGAGACACUCAUUAAGGCCCCUCCAGACAGAUGGAUGUCUAACUCCCGAGUCAUGCACUAUCAGGCACUACUUCUGGAUCCGACUACUAUUAGUUUCAAGAAGACAACAGCUUUAAAUCCAGCUGCUUUGCUGCCUGACGAAGACCCCUCAUUGCCUGACCACAAUUGUACUGAGGUCAUCAAUCACCUCCCGGGAUUUCAACCUGAUCUAACAGAUAAGCCACUAUAUGGAGUUUCAUCCUACUUCUCUGAUGGAAGCAGUUACAUUUAUCAAGGCAUAAAGAAGCCGAGGUACAGAAAAGCUAACACAGUCACUGUGGGUAAACUGAUGCCAUGUGGUAGAAUCAAGUUUCAUCCUUGCAUUCUAGCUCCAAAGAUGUAUGUUCAAGACCCUGCUGAGAAGAACUGGAGGCCUCGGGGAUGGGGCAGAUGAGAGGUGUAAACCAGAGCUUGCUGGGACCUCUGAGUUAAGCUUGAGCACCAAGUAAACAGCAGGGCUGUUAACUGGGUAAAUGUCAAAGCUGGGUGAGGGGAGGAAAAGGGUGCCUUCAUCCUUUUUCCACUGCUAUAACAGAAUACCUGACACUGGUUUAUUUAUAACAUAAUGAGGUUUGCUAUGGUGUGAGUAUGGGUUGUCACCUCUAAAAACCCGUACUGCAGUACCACCAACCCUGUAGGUAAAGAAUUAAGAGGAAGGAAUCUUAAUCCAACCGUAGUGUUUGGAGGUUACUGGGAUUAAAUAAAUUCAUCAGGAUGAGGUCCACGAUUGAUUACUGGUGGCUUUGUCAGAAGAGGGAGCAAGGCCAUGACACAAGUCUGUCUCCCUCCGUGUCAUGCCGUGUGCUGUCUUGAGACUCAGCCAGCAAGACAGCAGCCUCGACAUGUGGCCAAUAAUGUUGGGCCAGAAUUGUGAGCCAAAAUAAACCUCUUUUUACAACUUA